CUACGGGUCGCUGCAGUGGGGAAUAUUGGACAAUGGGGGAAACCCUGAUCCAGCAAUGCCGCGUGUGUGAAGAAGGCCUGCGGGCUGUAAAGCACUUUCGGUUGGGAGGACUGCUUCUAGCACUAAUAUUGUUGGAAGUUGACGUUACCUUCAGAAGAAGCACCGGCUAACUCCGUGCCAGCAGCCGCGGUAAUACGGAGGGUGCAAGCGUUAAUCGGAAUUACUGGGCGUAAAGCGCGCGUAGGCGGCUAGAUCAGUCGGGUGUGAAAGCCCCGGGCUUAACCUGGGAACUGCAUCCGAUACUGUCUAGCUUGAGUACAGGAGAGGAGAGUGGAAUUCCACAUGUAGCGGUGAAAUGCGUAGAUAUGUGGAGGAACACCAAUGGCGAAGGCAGCUCUCUGGCCUGAUACUGACGCUGAGGCGCGAAAGCGUGGGGAGCAAACAGGAUUAGAUACCCGAGUAGUC
rnacentral:rRNA from 1 species